rnacentral:rRNA from 1 species
AGCCAUACCACCCUGAAUGUGCCUGCUCUUGUCUGACCUCAGAAGCUAAGCAGGGGCAGGCCUGGUUAGUACUUGGAUGGGAGAAAGUCUUCUCAAUUUCUCCAACCUUCCAAAGGGAAAGCAAAUUUCU